GAUGAACGCUGGCGGCGUGCCUAAUACAUGCAAGUCGAGCGAACGGACGAGAAGCUUGCUUCUCUGAUGUUAGCGGCGGACGGGUGAGUAACACGUGGAUAACCUACCUAUAAGACUGGGAUAACUUCGGGAAACCGGAGCUAAUACCGGAUGAUAUUUUGAACCGCAUGGUUCAAAAGUGAAAGACGGUUUUGCUGUCACUUAUAGAUGGAUCCGCGCUGCAUUAGCUAGUUGGUAAGGUAACGGCUUACCAAGGCAACGAUGCAUAGCCGACCUGAGAGGGUGAUCGGCCACACUGGAACUGAGACACGGUCCAGACUCCUACGGGAGGCAGCAGUAGGGAAUCUUCCGCAAUGGGCGAAAGCCUGACGGAGCAACGCCGCGUGAGUGAUGAAGGUCUUCGGAUCGUAAAACUCUGUUAUUAGGGAAGAACAUAUGUGUAAGUAACUGUACACAUCUUGACGGUACCUAAUCAGAAAGCCACGGCUAACUACGUG
rnacentral:rRNA from 1 species